UUUAAUAUUGUGAAUGACUAGUUGUGGAGUUGGCGUUGUGUGAACCAAGCUAUUGAAAUGGAUAAAACCCAGCGUCCCAGAAGACUAAAAGGCCAUUCAACGUUAGUUACUAUAUCGGAGUCCGCUAAACAUCGUUCAAAUUUCAAUCGCUAAUUCCCCAAAUCUCUUUGUUCUUCCAAUCUUAUUUCUGUAAGGAAUUGUCCUUUGUAUGGAUAACAAGGAAGUUGGGAAGGAGGUUUCUGAGGAAGCCACAAGGGAGUCACUGAUUUCAAUAUCUCACUCAGUUCCAGCAGGGAAGGAAGGUGCUGCAGCUUCUGGUUUGGAUUUGCAGAAUGGGGUGAAUGGUGUAGGAGAUGGUAAUGGUGAUGAUGACAAGUACAGGUCUAAGUUGAUUUCAAUAUCCUUCUCUAACUCACCAGAUGCCAAAGUUUAACCUGGACAAGUUUAGGGAUGGCUUUGCUAAUAUAGCCAGUUUCAUGUUUUCUGCUAUGUUGUUAUUUAGUGAGGAAGCAACUAUGGUUUCAUCUUCUCAUAUCAAAAGCUUGCUUAAUAAUUGUAUUUUUUUUUUUUGUGUACGCGUGGACGAUCAGACCCAGGACGUUUAGUUAAAGAUGGAUGAGUCCCUUCUACUAAAUCAAACUUCCAAAUUAUUACAUUU